CACGUAGUUAGCCGGUGCUUAUUCUUCAGGUACCGUCAUUAGCAAGAGAUAUUAGCCCUCACCGUUUCUUCCCUGACAAAAGAGCUUUACAACCCGAAGGCCUUCUUCACUCACGCGGCAUUGCUGGAUCAGGCUUGCGCCCAUUGUCCAAAAUUCCCCACUGCUGCCUCCCGUAGGAGUCUGGACCGUGUCUCAGUUCCAGUGUGGCUGGUCGUCCUCUCAGACCAGCUACUGAUCGAAGCCUUGGUGAGCCUUUACCUCACCAACUAGCUAAUCAGAUAUCGGCCGCUCCAGGAGCAUGAGGUUCUUGCGAAUCCCCCAUUUCAUCCUUAGAUCGUAUGCGGUAUUAGCGUAACUUUCGCUACGUUAUCCCCCACUCCAGGGUACGUUCCGAUAUAUUACUCACCCGUUCGCCACUCGCCGCCAGGUUGCCCCGCGCUGCCGUUCGACUUGCAUGUGUAAGGCAUGCCGCCAGCGUUCAAUCUGAGCCA
rnacentral:rRNA from 1 species